ACUCCUACGGGAGGCAGCAGUGGGGAAUUUUGGACAAUGGGCGAAAGCCUGAUCCAGCAAUGCCGCGUGUGUGAAGAAGGCCUUCGGGUUGUAAAGCACUUUUGUCCGGAAAGAAAUCCUUGGCUCUAAUACAGUCGGGGGAUGACGGUACCGGAAGAAUAAGCACCGGCUAACUACGUGCCAGCAGCCGCGGUAAUACGUAGGGUGCGAGCGUUAAUCGGAAUUACUGGGCGUAAAGCGUGCGCAGGCGGUUUGCUAAGACCGAUGUGAAAUCCCCGGGCUCAACCUGGGAACUGCAUUGGUGACUGGCAGGCUAGAGUAUGGCAGAGGGGGGUAGAAUUCCACGUGUAGCAGUGAAAUGCGUAGAGAUGUGGAGGAAUACCGAUGGCGAAGGCAGCCCCCUGGGCCAAUACUGACGCUCAUGCACGAAAGCGUGGGGAGCAAACAGGAUUAGAUACCCUUGUAGUCCCA
rnacentral:rRNA from 1 species